ensembl:lncRNA
GUGCUCAUCCCACUUAUGUCCCUGAUCCGAAUUAAUCGUUCUGUGGCACCAGUGGAGCAGUGGCAGGUGGUUGCAGACUCCGCGUGGUGCGCGAUAGAGCAUUCACUGGAAAGCUGUGAAGUGACAGCAUGAGACUGCAGGUGAAAUGGCAACUUCACUCCUCGGGCUAAACGUACACUGGGACACCCAAGUGGGAAGCUCGUGGUUGCUCUGGGAUCUUGUACGCUGAGCUGAGAUGGCUGAAGAACCAAAGUGGCUCAUGGAGUUGAGGAUGGUAGCCUGCAGCGAUGAUGGCAGCAAGGACUGUUCUCUCAGCAGCAGAAGGAAAACCUGAACUGGGCUGAGAGAGGAUAAAGCCCUCCUGCACAUCCUACUGAGGCACCGCAAGCAGCAGAAGCAGCUUCCUACUGCCCCAGCACAGGUAAGCCUGGCGCGUACACUCAGCACUCGAUUUUGCAAGGUGUGUGCCACAGAUGGAACUGACUUGCAUCGUGUCACAUCUCACUGAGGAUGAGCUUUGGUUCACCUCUUCUAACUGUGACUAAGAAGGAUGUGGGUGACGUGUUGAUCAAAGGCUGUUUUGGCUGCAGGGUAUGCACACGAACUCUGCAGCUCCAUGAGAGCAGCAGGUCAUCCCUGGGCCAAUAAAUGCGGUGGUAC